rnacentral:tRNA from 2 species
UAGACGCGCUAGCUUCAGGUGUUAGUGUCCUUACGGACGUGGGGGUUCAAGUCCCCCCCCUCGCACCAAUUAUCUUAUCCUUCC